rnacentral:rRNA from 1 species
CAUCCAACGCGUUGGGAGCUCUCCCAUAUGGUCGACCUGCAGGCGGCCGCGAAUUCACUAGUGAUUAGAGUUUGAUCAUGGCUCAGAUUGAACGCUGGCGGCAUGCCUUACACAUGCAAGUCGAACGGUAACGCGGGGCAACCUGGCGACGAGUGGCGAACGGGUGAGUAAUGUAUCGGAACGUGCCCAGUAGUGGGGGAUAGCCCGGCGAAAGCCGGAUUAAUACCGCAUACGACCUACGGGUGAAAGCGGGGGAUCGCAAGACCUCGCGCCAUUGGAGCGGCCGAUAUCAGAUUAGGUAGUUGGUGGGGUAAAAGCCUACCAAGCCGACGAUCUGUAGCUGGUCUGAGAGGACGACCAGCCACACUGGGACUGAGACACGGCCCAGACUCCUACGGGAGGCAGCAGUGGGGAAUUUUGGACAAUGGGCGCAAGCCUGAUCCAGCCAUGCCGCGUGCGGGAAGAAGGCCUUCGGGUUGUAAACCGCUUUUGUCAGGGAAGAAAAGCUCUGGGCUAAUACCUCGGGGUCAUGACGGUACCUGAAGAAUAAGCACCGGCUAACUACGUGCCAGCAGCCGCGGUAAUAAUCGAAUUCCCGCGGCCGCCAUGGCGGCCGGGAGCAUGCGACGUCGGGCCCA